rnacentral:miRNA from 1 species
UUGGUGUUAUGUGUAGUCUUC